rnacentral:misc_RNA from 1 species
GAUGAAGAACGUAGCGAAAUGCGAUAAGUAAUGUGAAUUGCAGAAUUCAGUGAAUCACCGAAUCUUUGAACGCACAUUGCGCCCGCCAGUAUUCUGGCGGGCAUGCCUGUUCGAGCGUCAUUUCAACCAUCAAGCCCCCGGCUUGUGUUGGGGACCUGCGGCUGCCGCAGGCCCUGAAAAGCAGUGGCGGGCUCGCUGUCACACCGAGCGUAGUAGCAUACAUCUCGCUCUGGGCGUGCUGCGGGUUCCGGCCGUUAAACCACCUUCAUAACCCAAGGUUGACCUCGGAUCAGGUAGGAAGACCCGCUGAACUUAAGCAUAUCAAUAAGCGGAGGA